UACGGAGGGUGCAAGCGUUGUUCGGAAUUACUGGGCGUAAAGCGCGUGUAGGCGGUCGCGUAAGUCUGAUGUGAAAGCCCGGGGCUCACCCCCGGAAGUGCAUUGGAAACUGCGCGACUAGAGUGUCGGAGAGGAGGGUGGAAUUCCUGGUGUAGCGGUGAAAUGCGUAGAUAUCAGGAGGAACACCGGUGGCGAAGGCGGCCCUCUGGACGAAUACUGACGCUGAGACGCGAAAGCGUGGGGAGCAAAC
rnacentral:rRNA from 1 species